rnacentral:lncRNA from 1 species
UUUAUAAUGCUAAAGAAAGUCGCGCUUUGGAUCGAUUGAUCUGCAUCAGACUCAAGGGUGAAUCUAGAGGUGAGUGCACCACUAAAGAAAGGAGGAAAAAAACAUAGAUUGGGAAUUGAUCCAUCAUCCUUGUACCUCUAGUAAGUAACUUAGCUUUCAACCUAGUGCAAAACGAAGUCCUUUUGUAAUAUAGUGAGAGCUGAAAUCAGGAAUUCACUAAUGGAGUUAGAGAAAUCAGUAGCUGCACAGGGGAAGUACAGAGAUUGUCUGGGUGUUCCAGCUCAAUAGAUGGAACAUAAGAAGAUAGAGUAGAAUUUCAGUAGUAACUUUGUAGUAUAUUCAAUUGAUGAUUGGAUCUAUAAUGAUACCAUGCCUUUUAUAGAAAUGAGAGAGAAUCUAAUUUGCUAACUGCUUCUAGCUAAUUCAACAACCAAUAACUAAUUGCUGAUUUGGCAAGCUAACUAACUUGACCAGCUGAUUCAUUUUCGUGUAACAUGUAGGUGCGAGAAGUUAAUAUUAGAUCAAUUCUAGAUAGUAUAUACAUACAAUCUAGUUUUACGGAAAGACCACGGGAUCAUGUGCUCUAUAACUUACCUACUAAAUUCACUCCGAUCAGAAUGACUUCACAAGGGGGGAUUUACCAACAUACUCAAACGGGUCGUUUGGUACGCGGGAUAAGGUGAAAUGUCCCAUAAUGAAGUUUGGUACUAAUUUUAUACCAUGUUUGAUUAAUGGUAAAUCUAUCUCAAAACUAAUUAUACCAUCAAUCAGACAUGGUAUAAUCUAAUACCAAACUUAGUCUUUGGAUAUCACACCUUAUUCCAUCCAACAUGAGAUUAAUUUAUGCCACCUCCCUUAUAAGAUAAAUUAGUCCAGGUAUUAAUCCCGGGAUGAUUUAGUCUACGUACCAAACGAUUCCUUUGUGCUGCUCUGGUAUUUUUAUUGAUGACCUUAAAUAAUCACAAUGUUUAUGAGUGCUAAUGUAUAAGGAUUUGAAGUUACAUUUUUGUAUACUGUUCAUUGCAUGUCUCUUCUUUUGUGUUUUGACUUUAUCUUCUUUUUUGCCCCACCUUUACGCAAAUAAUAAAGAAGGAACUACUAUUGCUGAAUUCACUAUUUACCCUUAUGCUGUAAAUAUUUUGUCUCCUGAAGAUGUAAAAAGUCGUUCGGAUAGAGUUUAAAAAGUUACUUUUAUAGCUCUGGAUAUUAGUUUUUUUGGGGGAGGGGGGAUUGUAACUUCUAGUUAGAAAGUUCAUAUGUUGUAAAUAUUUUGUCUCCAGAAGCUGUAAAAAGUCGUUCGGAUAGAGUUUAAAAAGUUACUUUUAUAGCUUUGGAUAUUAUUUUUUUCGCGGGAGGGGGAGAUUGUAACUUCUAAUUAGAAAGUUCAUAUGAGUUCCCUUUGUUAGAAAUAACUUCUCUCUUUUAAAGAUAUUUAAUAUGGCCCAUAUAUUAGGUAUAAAUUAUUUACCUUGUCUCCGACAGUCUUAUCAAAGGCAAAAAACACAAAAAAGUUCUAAAGUCCGUUGGUGCUUUAAGUGCAAAGUGUAAAUAAAGCGUGAACUUUAAUGGAAAAAGACAAUAAUGGAAGAAAACUACAAAUAUAUGUGUAGUCUAAAACUAAUUAUUAUAAUAAGGAAUAAUAAAUAUAUGAAUAAAGAUAUUGAAAAACAAUUACUUACAAAGUGUUGCUUCUUCAGGAUUACUCUAAUUGACCAGUAAAAUUAGUCUUAGAGCCUUGAUAAUAGCGCUCGUUAAGCGACAGGAAACACUCAACAUAUUUUGUGCCGCUUCAUGUUAUGCAAAUAUAUCCAAAAAAUUCCCUUGGAUGGAAUAAAAUGUGUUAUUUAAGUCCUUAGGGCAACCACAUUUUACGAAAAAGCCCCUAGGUUUAAAGUUUAGGCCUGAGCGUCUCUAGCCUACCUAUAUAAAUGCUUGUAACUUCAUUAGUUUGGCACGCCUCUUUGGAUAGCCGCCUGUAAACUGAAAGACAUUCCCUUACGCUUGAAGAAUUACGGUGGCACCUUUUAUGAUGUCAUUUUUGAAAGAAAGAAAUGCUCGCGGUUUUGAAGG